GUAGGGAAUAUUGCGCAAUGGGGGAAACCCUGACGCAGCGACGCCGCGUGAGUGAUGAAGGCCUUCGGGUCGUAAAGCUCUGUUGCAGGGGAAUAAAAAAAUGAAGGUACCCUGUGAGGAAGGAUCGGCUAACUUCGUGCCAGCAGCCGCGGUAAGACGAGGGAUCCUAGCGUUGCUCGGAAUCAUUGGGCGUAAAGAGGGCGUAGGUGGCUUGGUAAGUCAGGUGUGAAAGCCCAGGGCUCAACCCUGGAAGUGCAUUUGAUACUGCUGAGCUUGAGUGUCGGAGAGGUUACCGGAAGACCUGGUGUAGUGGUGAAAUACGUAGAUAUCAGGUGGAACACCGGAGGCGAAGGCGGGUAACUGGACGAACACUGACACUGAGGCCCGAAAGCGUGGGGAUCAAACAGGAUUAGAUACCCUGGUAGUCC
rnacentral:rRNA from 1 species